UACGUAGGGUGCGAGCGUUAAUCGGAAUUACUGGGCGUAAAGCGCACGUAGGCGGGUCGUUAAGUCGGGGGUGAAAUCCUGGAGCUCAACUCCAGAACUGCCUUCGAUACUGGCGACCUAGAGUCCGGAAGAGGUGAGUGGAACUCCUAGUGUAGAGGUGGAAUUCGUAGAUAUUAGGAAGAACACCAGUGGCGAAGGCGGCUCACUGGUCCGGUACUGACGCUGAGGUGCGAAAGCGUGGGGAGCAAACAGG
rnacentral:rRNA from 1 species